rnacentral:rRNA from 1 species
GAACGUUAGCGGCGGGCUUACACAUGCAAGUCGCACGAGAUAGGGGCUUCGGCCCUGUGUAAAGUGGCGGACGGGUGCGUAACACGUGGCUAACCUGCCCUCCAGUUGGGGAUAACUGUCCGAAAGGAUAGCUAAUACCGAAUUCGUCGGCCGGGUCUUCGGACCUGGUCGGGAAAGCCGGCCUCUGCAUGUAAGCUGGCGCUGGAGGAGGGGGCCGCGGCCCAUCAGCUAGUUGGUGAGGUAAUGGCUCACCAAGGCAACGAUCCGUAACCGGCCUGAGAGGGCGGUCGGUCACACUGACACUGACAUACGGGUCAGACUCCUACGGGAGGCAGCAGUCGGGAAUUUUGGGCAAUGGGCGAAAGCCUGACCCAGCAACGCCGCGUGAAGGAUGAAAUCCCUCGGGAUGUAAACUUCGCAAGAACGGGAAGAAUAAGUCGGUGCUAACACCACCGCCGAUGACGGUACCGUUUGUAAGCUCCGGCUAACUCCGUGCCAGCAGCCGCGGUAAUACGGGGGGAGCAAGCGUUGUUCGGAUUUACUGGGCGUAAAGGGCGCGUAGGCGGCCACCGCAAGUCGACUGUGAAAUCUCCGGGCUUAACUCGGAAAGGUCAGCCGAUACUGCGGGGCUAGAGUGCAGAAGGGGCAACUGGAAUUCUCGGUGUAGCGGUGAAAUGCGUAGAUAUCGAGAGGAACACCUGCGGCGAAGGCGGGUUGCUGGGCUGACACUGACGCUGAGGCGCGAAAGCUAGGGGAGCGAACGGGAUUAGAUACCCCGGUAGUCCUAGCCUUAAACGAUGGAUGCUUGGUGUCUGGGGUUUUAUAGUCCCCGGGUGCCGUCGCUAACGCUUUAAGCAUCCCGCCUGGGGAGUACGGUCGCAAGACUGAAACUCAAAGGAAUUGACGGGGACCCGCACAAGCGGUGGAGCAUGUGGUUUAAUUCGACGCAACGCGAAGAACCUUACCUGGGCUAGAAUGCCUCUGACAACCCUAGAGAUAGGGCCUUCUGGGUAAAACCAGACAGAGUGCAAGGUGCUGCAUGGCUGUCGUCAGCUCGUGUCGUGAGAUGUUGGGUUAAGUCCCGCAACGAGCGCAACCCUUAUCAAUAGUUGCCAGCGGUUCGGCCGGGCACUCUAUUGAGACUGCCGUUGACAAAACGGAGGAAGGUGGGGAUGACGUCAAGUCCUCAUGGCCUUUAUGUCCAGGGCUACACACGUGCUACAAUGGCAAGUACAAAGCGCUGCAAACCUGCAAAGGGGAGCCAAUCGCAAAAAGCUUGUCUCAGUUCGGAUUGGAGUCUGCAACUCGACUCCAUGAAGUUGGAAUCGCUAGUAAUCGCAGAUCAGCAAUGCUGCGGUGAUACGUUCCCAGGUCUUGUACUCACCG